rnacentral:lncRNA from 1 species
CCUCUUCCUGCUCGGCGGGGUCGCGGCGGCCCCCGCUCUAGAGAGCGUGCGCCAGGGGGAAACGCAGGAGCCACGGGUGUGGCACAGAACGGAGCCCAGGGCCACAGCUGAGAGUCUUAGGAAACCCGGGAACCUGGAUGCAGGUGCGGUGGCUGGGAAGGACUGCGCCCUUUGGGAACCGUCUGGUCGACCGCGCCUUCUCUAAGCCAGCAGCACAGUUCCCACGUUUUCCUGCGGUCUUGUCAACAAAACUGCUGUUUGAGAUCUGUUUCCUACAACUAAUAAGGGAUUUGCAUUUCCAUUUCUUCGUUCUCACUGAAGCAACCGAAGCAAGUGGAUUUCCAGGUCCCAGAUGAAGAGAUAAUUCUACUUACUGGAUAUAGGAUGCAUUAGAUCUUCUUACCUUAAAAAAAAAAAAAAAGGCAGCAAUGAUCAAAAUACUAAUAAAUUACUCACAGACUCAGUGUAUUUUUUCUUGGAGUAAAAGUCCAGGAUGGGUAAUAGAAUACCUGCUGUUGGCUUUUGGAAAAAUUGGUACUGUAUGUAGCAAAAUAAUGUGAAACCCAUAUGCAUGGAUAUUCUUAACAAUUUGAAGAAAUCGUCACAGCUUUCCUGGGUUGUUGAGCCUCUAAGAUGGUCUUUUCCUCUGAUGUGAUAAUAAAGUGUUUAUUCUGAACUCUA